UAGUAGCGUAGCUUUUUUAAUUGCAGUUUUAUUUUAGGUCUAAACCUAUUGCUUUAUUCCUCUCCAGAAGCACUGAAUGAAAACUACGUGCACACACCUCAAAGUUUGAAAAAAAUAGGUCAUUUUUCAAGUGUGACAGAGUCAUUUUAACCCUUUGGAGAAGGAGCAUUACUGGGACCGACUGCCAAGAGGACACUUGGUCAUGUACUUACUGCACUCAGAGGGUUAAUUAUCUAGCACUAGGUUAAUAGGCUCGGGUUUUAAUUAUUUUAGCAAACUUAAAACCAACAGCAUGUUCUGGUGCUGCACAGAGGAACUCAGUAGCCUCUUCCCAGCUCUGACAUAGUCUCUUUUUAUCCUUGAUUUAGAAAAAUAAAACGAAAAAAAAAAUUGCUUAAAAAAAAUUUAAAAAUAGCUGUGUCUCAGCCCAGCAUUUGUCCCUCUGAGACCCCCUGAUGAGAGGUGGCAGUGACCCCAGGAACCACACGUGACAAAGGGGUCCUGGUGGCCUUGUGUCACUCAACGCUGGCAUCACUUAAUAUCCAAUCCAUAUCUCAUGGUUGGAUAAAACGUGUAACUUUGCAGCAAAGCAAAUGCAGGUAGAACAGAAAACAUAGAUUUGUCUAAUUAAGAGCAGAGGAAGUUCAGGGGAAGGCCCUAGGCAGCGUCAAAGGGGGUGUCCCCAGCAGAGCAGCCCAAACCCAUGUCAGGACUCACCAGGACUUGCACCCCCUCAUCUCAGGGCUCCCCUGGUCCCCCCGCAGCACCAGGGAUCCAGCCUUGGUCCAGGUCACACCGACCAGCAGAAGGCCCAUCCCUAUCCCAGUUAUUCCAGCAGAUUCCUGCAAAAUCUCCCCCCCUCUCCAGAGCCUUUCCUGGUGCACUCAGGGCACAGCAGCAUCUCCAUAAACCCACCAGUUUAGAGCCAGACCUUCCCCCCCUCCCCAGCCCCCCGUGCUUCCAGCUUCUGCAGUAUAAACUCAGAAUAGCCGCCCAGUAAAACCACAACACCUUCAGUUUAUACUGGUGGGACUGAAAAAAUUUCAUUUUUCUUCUUUUUUUUUUUCCCCUCUCCCCCAAAACAUGAGAUAAGAGACCUUUAAGCUGCCCCUUUCCAAGACAAAACACUGAGCAACAACCAACUCUCCUUACGUGCCCGAUAACUAAAUGCCAAAACAAAGCUAUUUUUAUGAAUACCAAAAAAAAAGUGUCUUUAGAAAUGCUAUAUGAAGUGUUACCAUUUUACAUUAAUACUCUGGGUUGGUUUUGUUUUUUUAAUAGAAGGAAAACUUCGCCCUUAAGCUUUUAUCACCACAAGAUUAUAAUUUUUUUUUUCCUUAAAGUUUUCACAGCAAUUUCAACUCUUCUUGAAAUAAGUCUUUGAAUUCCUGAAAUCAGUUUGAAUGUAGAAGUCAUGGAAGUACCACUUCGUUAAAGCAAUUAAAACCACUGUAUGUAUGUAGCAGGGAUAAAUGUUUCGCAGCUGUACUUUCAUUUGUCCAAUGACUAUCCAUCAUUUGUUGUAAUUUUUUUACUUCACUGAGUUUGUAUUUUUUUUUUUUGGCUUUUAUGUUCAAAAUAUGUUUAUAGCUUUAUAAAUAAAGAAAUUGCCAGACUGGCUAUUCAAAAUAGGCCACUGGAAGUUAUAAUCCUA